GACGAACGCUGGCGGCGUGCUUAACACAUGCAAGUCGAACGGAAAGGCCCUGCUUUUGUGGGGUGCUCGAGUGGCGAACGGGUGAGUAACACGUGAGUAACCUGCCCUUGACUUUGGGAUAACUUCAGGAAACUGGGGCUAAUACCGGAUAGGAGCUCCUGCUGCAUGGUGGGGGUUGGAAAGUUUCGGCGGUUGGGGAUGGACUCGCGGCUUAUCAGCUUGUUGGUGGGGUAGUGGCUUACCAAGGCUUUGACGGGUAGCCGGCCUGAGAGGGUGACCGGCCACAUUGGGACUGAGAUACGGCCCAGACUCCUACGGGAGGCAGCAGUGGGGAAUAUUGCACAAUGGGCGGAAGCCUGAUGCAGCAACGCCGCGUGCGGGAUGACGGCCUUCGGGUUGUAAACCGCUUUCGCCUGUGACGAAGCGUGAGUGACGGUAAUGGGUAAAGAAGCACCGGCUAACUACGUGCCAGCAGCCGCGGUGAUACGUAGGGUGCGAGCGUUGUCCGGAUUUAUUGGGCGUAAAGGGCUCGUAGGUGGUUGAUCGCGUCGGAAGUGUAAUCUUGGGGCUUAACCCUGAGCGUGCUUUCGAUACGGGUUGACUUGAGGAAGGUAGGGGAGAAUGGAAUUCCUGGUGGAGCGGUGGAAUGCGCAGAUAUCAGGAGGAACACCAGUGGCGAAGGCGGUUCUCUGGGCCUUUCCUGACGCUGAGGAGCGAAGGCGUGGGGAGCGAACAGGCUUAGAUACCCUGGUAGUCCACGCUGUAAACGGUGGGUACUAGGUGUGGGGUCCAUUCCACGGGUUCCGUGCCGUAGCUAACGCUUUAAGUACCCCGCCUGGGGAGUACGGCCGCAAGGCUAAAACUCAAAGGAAUUGACGGGGCCCCGCACAAGCGGCGGAGCAUGCGGAUUAAUUCGAUGCAACGCGUAGAACCUUACCUGGGUUUGACAUGGAUCGGGAGUGCUCAGAGAUGGGUGUGCCUCUUUUGGGGUCGGUUCACAGGUGGUGCAUGGCUGUCGUCAGCUCGUGUCGUGAGAUGUUGGGUUAAGUCCCGCAACGAGCGCAACCCUUGUUCACUGUUGCCAGCACGUUAUGGUGGGGACUCAGUGGAGACCGCCGGGGUCAACUCGGAGGAAGGUGGGGAUGACGUCAAGUCAUCAUGCCCCUUAUGUCCAGGGCUUCACGCAUGCUACAAUGGCUGGUACAGAGAGUGGCGAGCCUGUGAGGGUGAGCGAAUCUCGGAAAGCCGGUCUCAGUUCGGAUUGGGGUCUGCAACUCGACCUCAUGAUGUCGGAGUCGCUAGUAAUCGCAGAUCAGCAACGCUGCGGUGAAUACGUUCCCGGG
rnacentral:rRNA from 1 species